UACGUAGGUGGCAAGCGUUGUCCGGAUUUACUGGGUGUAAAGGGCGUGUAGCCGGGCUGACAAGUCAGAUGUGAAAUCCGGGGGCUCAACCCCCGAACUGCAUUUGAAACUGUUGGUCUUGAGUAUCGGAGAGGCAGGCGGAAUUCCUAGUGUAGCGGUGAAAUGCGUAGAUAUUAGGGGGAACACCAGUGGCGAAGGCGGCUUGCUGGACUGUAACUGACGUUGAGGCUCGAAAGCGUGGGGAGCAAACAGG
rnacentral:rRNA from 1 species